UUGUUUCGGUAUUUUAACUGAGCAAUAUAUUUUUGUAGUGACAAAUAAAUAAUUCAUACUUGUACAAAUUCCACAACAAAUCUGUAUCACAGGGCGUCCAUAUAAUCACUUUUGCAUGUUUCGCGAUUUCCGCCUUUGGCUAUUUCAUCGCGUAACAUAAAUAUAAGGAUUAUAAAUUUAAUCACAUUUAAGGCAGAAUUUUGGACAUUCCGUCUGUAUUUUCAACAUACGCAAACAUUUUCAUCGCCGUAUUUUAUGUCCUUCUAUUAUAUUAUAUAGCGCGAAAUUGUGUACAUUAUAUUUCCAACGAGAUGUCCGACUCUUUUAUAUCUGAUGUUGGAGAGUUUUUCAAUUCUAUGGAAGAUAUUAGCGGCAGGCAAUACAAUCAUGCGCAUGUUCCAAUCGGAAUUCAGUCCCCGAUACCUGAUCCUCAGGUUACUAAAAGGGAAUCUGAUCAUGAAACAAAAUAUAGACACUUCACCGAUGGCAAUGUAAACAAAGCCCUCGCCGCUCAUCAUAAACGUCAACUCCGAAGGAAACGCCAGUAUAAGAGUUUACAACAAGUGCAAUCUAGAGUAACAAUUGUCGCAUCUGCAUCUAACCUCAAUUCUUUCGACGUGCAAGUGGACUACCCUGAUCAUACGUUUGUUGUAACAAUGAGGCAGAGACAAGGGCAUGGAGAACAAAUUGCCAACGGAACUGAUGAAAUAAAUGAAGUUUAUAAUUAAUAUAUCUGGUAUUGUAAGUAGCAUAUAGUUAUAAAUGCAACUAAUAUGAAGCGCCGCAACCAUAAGAAACCAUCAGAAUAUAUUUAAAUAUCUUGAAAAAGCGUCAAUUAUCAGUAAGAAAAUAUUUGAACUAGUAGACUGAAGAUUUACUUUUAACUCCCAAUACGAAUUUUUAACAAUUGCUGAAUUCAAAGAGAAUGUGACUUGGCUAUGUCUAUU